rnacentral:rRNA from 1 species
UACGUAGGGAGCAAGCGUUGUUCGGAUUUCCUUGGCGUCAAGGGCGCGUAGGCGGCAAUUCAAGUCAUCUGUGAAAUCUCCGGGCUUAACUCGGAACGGUCAGAUGAUACUGUCUUGCUAGAGUGCAGAAGGGGCAAUCGGAAUUCUUGGUGUAGCGGUGAAAUGCGUAGAUAUCAAGAGGAACACCUGAGGUGAAGACGGGUUGCUGGGCGGACACUGACGCUGAGGCGCGAAAGCCAGGGGAGCAAACGGG